rnacentral:lncRNA from 1 species
UUCAUUGUCUGUGUUUUUGCAGGCUUUGCUCCUGAAGACUUCGGUUUGCUGAAUGGUGCUAUACCCUAUCCAGGCAAGUGUUUCAGAUGCCUAGCCCCCCUGUAAGUUUGGAAUUUGGCUGGUGGUCUAUUAUCAGUGCUGACUGCAAUUUUGGAAAAAUUGUUCCAUUUGCUGUUUUUUUAGAUGAUAUUGAAUAACUGUUUUCCUAAUUAACUUGGAGUUAUGCCGGUGUGGUUAAUAUUGAUUUCAUGCGCAUAGUUGUUUUCAAGUGUUUCUUUGCAGAAUGUUUUCUGGUUAUGCAAUUUCAUAUGUUUCAUAUUAUGAUGAUUGCCG